UUCGUGCCCACAGCAGAUCGUUCUCCGCCGCCAACCAGCCCUUCGCACGCCCGAUCCACCCCUUCGCCCACGGGGGACGACUCCUGCCCCCUAGGGUUUCCUACGCCACCACCGCCGCCGGGGAACUCCUCGACCAGCCCACCCUCCCGCCGCUCCGCCCCCUUCCCUUCCCAUCGCCGCAGUCGCCCCCUCCAUCUCCUGCCGGAGCCACUCCCCUGCCGCGAACAUCCUGCUCGCGUUGUAUAUGACCGGUACGGCGGCCCUGACGGGGAGCGAGAACCGCCACGGGAACGCGGUGUUGAGCCCCUCGGUGAAGACCUGCGCGGAGAGCAGGAACGCGUGCGGGGCCAUGGCGGCGAUCCCCGGACCGGAGGCCGUCGAGGAUGUACAGCGCCGGGAGCACGGCGCCGACGAGGAACCCACCCACGGUGUGCGAGGGGUCUCUUCCCGUACGUCAAGGCAUCCCGCCUCACGUUUCCUCUUUCGGCAUCACGGGCCGCCGCCGCACUCCCUCCCCCGGCCGCCCCGCGGGCUUCUAUCUCUCCCAGCUCCGCUGCCGCGCCCCGUCUUCCAUCUCUACAUGAAUCACUGCUGUGGAAGCCAUGCCCCACCGCGCCACCCGGCGGCCAUCCGGGAUGAUGGAGUUGAGUCGGCCAGGUCCCUGUUCCCGUCGGCAUCUUCUGCAUCGGGACCCGUGGGGGCAAGCCGCGCCUGCUCAUCUGCGUCGAUGGCGUCGGCGUGGCCUUCCCCUGCCAAGACCGGCGGCUCCUUGGCUGGAUCCUCUCCUCUCCUCUCUUCCACCUCUCGUUGUCGGGUGCUCCUUCCGUCGAUGUCGAGGUCUUAGUCUCGGUGAUUUCUCCUUGUAUGUUCUGUUAAUAUUGGUACCGUGUUCUGAACCUUGCUGCUUUGGAAAGGGUGUGGUUUCAGUUUUGAUGGUUCUGUUCAAUUCAAGGUGAUUCAGUAAUGUUCUGCGUACAAAGUGCUUCCUAUUUUUGCGGUGAAAAACAGUGUGUUGGAGAUAGUUCGGAUAGUCAAAAUUUGGCAGUAUUUUCUUCUUCUUCUUUUGAUCCCGUUUCUUCAUAGUUAGUCAGACUCAAUAAGAAUUAGAGCAAGUUGGAAAGAGGUUUGUUAGGUCGGAACUGAUAUAUUUGCUUUCGCCUAGCAGCCUAUACAUAUCAUUUUAUAUGACGGGGAUUGUGCUAUAUUACCAUGUUAUAAAGGUAGACCUAGGAUAUGUCUUUCUUGAACUGUGUGGACAUGCUCAUGGCGGAGGUGCUCUGUUUGUAUGUUUUUUCAAGUAAAGUGGAGAAACUCCUGAAUUGUGUCUUCAGGAAUCUACCAAUCCUUCUGAUCAUUGUGUUUUUCUGGGCCUGGAGGUCUACGCCAAACCCCAGGGCAGGGUGGUUCGAACACCAGUGCAGUACGGGCUGGGACGGACAUCAUCUUGUCUCUGUCUCUACUAAUUCAAAUUACAUGUAACUUAUUCCCUCAAAAAAAUUACAUGUAAUUUAUUCAGUUCUACAGCAGCCAAGGGCGGGGCAUCGCACCGACGACAGUGACUGCAAUGAGGGCGAGAUGCUGAUGUUCGUGCCGGCGCCGGAGACCGUGACCACAACUCGGGGGCAAGGUGCUGGUGUCAGCGACAUCGCCCGUGUUGGCCCCUUGAGUUUUGGACCUGCCGCGCUCUGGUUCUGGAAGCUGCCAUUCCCAUCGAGCCCCUCCAGCAGCGUUCAGUUUGGAUCUGGGUGCUUCUGGCUGUUCCUGGAGUUGAGGUUCAAGUUAACCAUGGAGAGAAGCCAAGAAGGACGAGAUUGUCAAGUCAGCGAUCGAGGUGCAGACAGACGUGAGAGACAUCUGGAUAGAUUCUUCCUUACUAGAGCCAUACGACCAAAAAAGAUGAUUGGAAAGGCUCUUUCCAAGCAUAAGAUAUAUUAAUAUUGGGGAAGUCUCUCAUAUACUGCUCGAGGUCGGGAAGGUGCGGAGGCUGCUAGAGGAAGUGUUGGAGGCCGAGCGCAGCAGCAAUAAUGAUCUGCUACUGGUGCUGGACCAGGCCAAGAUUGAUGAGUUGAAGGCGAGAACAAACUACUACACUACCCAGCAACUUAUACAGAGAUAUGGUCUUGACCCUACUCAAGCUCGUCCACACCGAUGUCACGGUAGCUGCUUUUGCGAGUCUCUUGUCAUCUUCUUCGCCGCCGGCUCGGUCACCACAUCCGCUUCCCACAGCUACGGACGACGAUAAGGAGGUGGUGGGUGACAUGGGCAAAGAGUGCUUGGAGGUCAAUGUUGCUUGUCUCCGUGUCUGCCUAGAGAAUUUUCUGUUGUUUGAUUUGGUUUUAUAAGUCCAUAUUGCAUGUCUGCAUUGAGAAUCUCAUAAUAUGAUUGUUAUUAUUAUAUGUCUUACAGAAGUGCAUAGUUUCACUAUAUCAUAGUAUUAUAAAUGCAA